CUUUAGUAGAGUUUGAUCCUAGCUCAGGAUGAACGCUGGCGGCGUGGAUAAGGCAUGCAAGUCAAACGGUUCUUAUAUUUAUAUAUGAACAGUGGCAAACGGGGUAGUAACACGUGGGAACGUACCUAGAAGUCGUGAACAACCCAUCGAAAGGUGGGCUAAUACACGAUGGUCUCGAAAGAGUAAAGAUUUAUCGCUUCUAGAACGGCCUGCGAGGUAUCAGUUAGUUGGUAGGGUAACGGCCUACCAAGACGAUGACGCCUAGGGGAGCUGAGAGGCUGACCCCCACCAUUGGAACUGCGACACGGUCCAAACACCUACGGGUGGCUGCAGUCAAGAAACUUCCCCAAUGCACGAAAGUGUGAGGGAGCGACGCCGCGUGGUUGAUGAAGCCCUUCGGGGUGUAAAAACCUUUUAUGUGUGAGAAAGUAAUUGAUGUUAGCACAUGAAUAAGAGGCUGCUAACUCUGUGCCAGCAGCAGCGGUAAUACAGAGGCCUCAAGCGUUAUCCGGAAUCACUGGGCGUAAAGGGUGCGUAGGUGGCGUUGUUAGUCGUAUGUCAAAGACCCGGGCUCAACCCGGGGGCGGCAUACGAAACGGCAAUGCUUGAAUAUGUGAGAGGUGUGCGGAACUCUAGGUGUAGGGGUGAAAUCCGUUGAUAUCUAGGGGAACACCAAAUGCGAAGGCAGCACACUGGCACAUUAUUGACACUGAGGCACGAAAGCGUGGGUAGCGAAUGGGAUUAGAUACCCCAGUAGUCCAUGCCCUAAACGAUGUUCAUUAGCUAUACGGAGUAUCGACCCUCUGUGUGGCGUAGCUAACGCGUUAAAUGAACCGCCUGGGAAAUACGAUCGCAAGAUUAAAACUCAAAGGAAUAGACGGGGACUCGCACAAGCGGUGGAUCAUGUGGUUUAAUUCGAUGAUAAACGAAGAACCUUACCAGGGUUUGAAACUGAACUGAAAGCUCCAAGAAACUGGAGCCCUCGCAAGACUGUUCAGCAGGUGAUGCAUGGUCGUCGUCAGCUCGUGGCUUGAGUUGUUCCCUUAAGUGGGGAAACGAGCGAAACCCUCAUCGUGUGUUACAAGUGUCACACGAGACUGCCCAGCCCUUUGAAUGCAAACGAAAGUUUGUUAGCAGAGGGCUGGGAGGAAGGGGAGGAUGACGCCAGAUCAGCAUGUCCCUUUGAUACCCUGGGCUACACACGUGAUACAAUGGCUACUACAGUGGGAUGCAAGACAGCAAUGUGGAGCAAAUCCAUAAAAGUAGCCCCAGUUCGGAUUGGAGUCUGAAACUCGACUCCAUGAAGUUGGAAUCGCUAGUAAUCGCAGGUCAGCUAUACUGCGGUGAAUACGUUCUCGAGUCUUGUACUCACCGCCCGUCAAGUCAAGGGAGCCGGUAGCACCCGAAGUCUGCGCAUCGCGUGGCCUAAGGUGAGAUUGGUAACAGGGACUAAGUCGUAACAAGGCACGGGUAGCGGAAGCUGUUCGUGGAACAAUUCAAGU
rnacentral:rRNA from 1 species